UACAGGGGGUGCAAACGUUGCUCGGAAUUAUUGGGCGUAAAGCGCGCGUAGGCGGCUACCUAAGUCGGAUGUGAAAGCCCCUGGCUUAACCGGGGAAGUGCACCCGAAACUGGGUAGCUAGAGUGCAAAAGAGGGUCGCGGAAUUCCCAGUGUAGAGGUGAAAUUCGUAGAUAUCGGGAGGAACACCGGUGGCGAAGGCGGCGACCUGGGUCGAGACUGACGCUGAGGCGCGAAAGCGUGGGGAGCAAACAGG
rnacentral:rRNA from 1 species